ACCCUGUUUUGGUUAAGUGUGCAGCAUCAAAAUAGGAAGUGUCCUCAAGUGCUGGGAUUGAGUGCUCUGCAGGAUUAAAGCCAAAAUGCUUGGCUAUGACAGUAAUGAGUCCACCCAAAACAAUGUCACCAAUGGAUUUGGUGGCAAUAUACAGCACAUGUUCGCAAAAGAAGUAACCUGGAGACACCUUAACUUUGUGAAAUGCACACCAUAACAUAAAUAGUUCAGAUUUGCCCACAGCACCAGAACUAGUCCCUCUGCCCAAUAUGGUGCUAGCCAUCAGCUUAUGAAUAAACCUAAGUGCAGGGUCAAGUAUUUGAGAGGUUUUUGAUCUGCCAGCAGAAAAAGUCUGAGGUUGGUUUGUGAUAAUUCUCCAAAAUUGAGCAGCAUUCCAAAUACCCUUGUUUGCUACCUCUACCCCUGUAUAUGGCACUCUAAAUAGCCCAUCAAUUGCAAAACCAAGAAUGCUAUGAAAUUGAUCCAAUGAUAACUCUCUAUUUUGCCCCAAACAUCUAAAUUUCAUAGUUGGCUUAAAAUCUACAUCAUGCAAUUUCAGGGUGGCAGAGAAUGAGGAAAUAAAUUCCAAUACUAAAACUGGGUAAACAAUUUCUUGCUUGUGCACAAAUUCCAUCCAACCCAUACCAUCAAGAUAGGCAACCACAUUAUCAAAUAAACCAAGUGACUGUAGAGAAUCUAUAGAAAUAUACCCAGUGGGUUGCACCUUCCUUUCCUUAAGUCUCUUAAAGGCUGCCUUUUGAACUGCAUCAGGAAGAGGCCAAGGUAGUUUUGAUACCAGUGAGACUGCUGACAUUUGCUUUUUGCUGGAAGAGGGUGAUUUGGCUUGUGUGGAGGCUGAGGUUUUGGGGUUUUUGGGUGGUGGUUCUGAAAAUGGGGUGGGUGGUUCUUUGCGUUUUGA
rnacentral:misc_RNA from 1 species